AGAGUCUGAUCCUGGCUCAGAACGAACGCUGGCGGCGCGUCUUAAGCAUGCAAGUCGGGCGGUAGCGGGGCGCUUGCGCCCCGUCUAGAGCGGCGGACUGGUGAGUAACGCGUGGGUGACCUACCUUUAGGACGGGGAUAGCCUUUAGAAAUAAGGGGUAAUACCGGAUAUAAUUACGGUGCUACGGCAUUGUAAUGAAAGGCGCUUCGGCGCCGCCUGAAGACGGGCCCGCGUCCCAUUAGGUAGUUGGCGGGGUAACGGCCCACCAAGCCCGUGAUGGGUAGCCGGCCUGAGAGGGUGAACGGCCACACUGGGACUGAGAUACGGCCCAGACUCCUACGGGAGGCAGCAGCUAAGAAUAUUCCGCAAUGGACGAAAGUCUGACGGAGCGACGCCGCGUGGAUGACGAAGGCCGAAAGGUUGUAAAAUCCUUUUGCUACUGAAGAAUAAGGCGGGCAGGUAAUGGCCUGUCGAUGACGUUAGGUAGCGAAUAAGCCCCGGCUAAUUACGUGCCAGCAGCCGCGGUAACACGUAAGGGGCGAGCGUUGUUCGGAAUUAUUGGGCGUAAAGGGCGCGUAGGCGGUUACGCAAGUCCGAUGUGAAAUACCGGUGCUCAACACCGGGGCUGCAUUGGAAACUGCGGAACUGGAGUCAUGGAGGGGGAGUUGGAAUUCCUAGUGUAGGGGUGAAAUCUAUAGAUAUUAGGAAGAACACCGGUGGCGAAGGCGAACUUCUAGCCAGUGACUGACGCUGAGGCGCGAAAGUGCG
rnacentral:rRNA from 1 species